rnacentral:rRNA from 1 species
GAUGAACGCUGGCGGCGUGCCUAAUACAUGCAAGUCGAGCGAACAGACGAGGAGCUUGCUCCUCUGACGUUAGCGGCGGACGGGGGAGUAACACGUGGAUAACCUACCUAUAAGACUGGGAUAACUUCGGGAAACCGGGGCUAAUACCGGAUAAUAUAUUGAACCGCAUGGUUCAAUAGUGAAAGACGGUUUUGCUGUCACUUAUAGAUGGAUCCGCGCCGCAUUAGCUAGUUGGUAAGGUAACGGCUUACCAAGGCAACGAUGCGUAGCCGACCUGAGAGGGUGAUCGGCCACACUGGAACUGAGACACGGUCCAGACUCCUACGGGAGGCAGCAGUAGGGAAUCUUCCGCAAUGGGCGAAAGCUUGACGGAGCAACGCCGCGUGAGUGAUGAAGGUCUUCGGAUCGUAAAACUCUGUUAUUAGGGAAGAACAAAUGUGUAAGUAACUAUGCACGUCUUGACGGUACCUAAUCAGAAAGCCACGGCUAACUACGUG